AAUGAACGCUGGCGGCGUGCUUAACACAUGCAAGUCGUACGAGAACACUCUAGCUUGCUAGGGUAAGUAAAGUGGCGCACGGGUGAGUAACGCGUGGGUAAUCUACCUUCGAAUUGGGGAUAACGUUGCGAAAGCGACGCUAAUACCGAAUAACAUCCAUUAAUCUUCGGGUUUUUGGAUCAANGGUGGCCUCUACAUGUAAGCUACUGUUUGAAGAUGAGCCCGCGUACCAUUAGCUUGUUGGUGGGGUAAAGGCCUACCAAGGCUUCGAUGGUUAGCUGGUCUGAGAGGAUGAUCAGCCACACUGGAACUGACACACGGUCCAGACUCCUACGGGAGGCAGCAGUGAGGAAUUUUGCGCAAUGGGGG
rnacentral:rRNA from 1 species